rnacentral:misc_RNA from 1 species
GAUGAAGAACGUAGCGAAAUGCGAUAAGUAGUGUGAAUUGCAGAAUUCAGUGAAUCAUCGAAUCUUUGAACGCACAUUGCGCCCUUUGGUAUUCCUUAGGGCAUGCCUGUUCGAGCGUCAUUUAAACCUUCAAGCUCAGCUUGGUGUUGGGUGACUGUCCGCUUCACCGCGGACUCGCCUCAAAAUUAUUGGCGGCCGGUACAUUGGCUUCGAGCGCAGCAGAAACGCGAACUCGGGCCCGUCGUAUUGGCUCCCAGAAGCUAUCUUCACAAUUUUGACCUCGGAUCAGGUAGGGAUACCUGCUGAACUUAAGCAUAUCAAUAAGCGGAGGA